rnacentral:lncRNA from 1 species
AAAUGAUAUAGAAAUCCCUAACUAAACUUGAAUCUCAUUGCGUAAAAAUUCCAUCAACCCUCCUUUCACAAACUUGCAUGAUUCUCUCUUUUCAUAAUUCCAUUUCUUACAUGAUAUAGUUUUUUGAAAAGCUAACAAUACAAUCUAACUUCUUUCAAAAUUUCGAAAUAAAAAAAUGAAAAUUUCUUAAGUGGCCUUCAAAAUUCCAUAUUAGACUUAAAACUUGCCUCUCCCUGAAAACCCUAACAGCCCCCUUUUUCCCUCCUUUCGAUCCCAGCCUCCUCUUUUUCCAAAAUUAAAAAAACCUUGAUGCAAAAAAUUCCUAUCCUUUAUCUUCUUCCAAUAUCCC